rnacentral:rRNA from 1 species
UACGUAGGGUGCGAGCGUUGUCCGGAAUUAUUGGGCGUAAAGAGCUCGUAGGCGGUCUGUCGCGUCGGCUGUGAAAACUCGGGGCUCAACUCCGAGCUUGCAGUCGAUACGGGCAGGCUAGAGUUCGGCAGGGGAGACUGGAAUUCCUGGUGUAGCGGUGAAAUGCGCAGAUAUCAGGAGGAACACCGGUGGCGAAGGCGACUCUCUGGUCUGUAACUGACGCUGAGGCGCGAAAGCGUGGGGAGCAAACAGG